GCAACCCUGACGGAGCAAUACCGCGUGAGGGAGGAAGGCCUUUGGGUUGUAAACCUCUUUUCUUAAGGAAGAAGCUCUGACGGUACUUAAGGAAUCAGCAUCGGCUAACUCCGUGCCAGCAGCCGCGGUAAUACGGAGGAUGCAAGCGUUAUCCGGAAUUAUUGGGCGUAAAGCGUCCGCAGGCGGCAUUAUAAGUCUGCUGUCAAAGACCGCAGCUCAACUGCGGAGAGGCAGUGGAAACUGUAAAGCUAGAGUACGGUAGGGGUAGAGGGAAUUCCCAGUGUAGCGGUGAAAUGCGUAGAGAUUGGGAAGAACACCAGUGGCGAAAGCGCUCUACUGGGCCGUAACUGACGCUCAGGGACGAAAGCUAGGGGAGCG
rnacentral:rRNA from 1 species